rnacentral:rRNA from 1 species
UAACCGGCGAUACCCGAAUGGGGAAACCCAGUGUGACUCGUCACACUAUCAUUAACUGAAUCCAUAGGUUAAUGAGGCGAACCGGGGGAACUGAAACAUCUAAGUACCCCGAGGAAAAGAAAUCAACCGAGAUUCCCCCAGUAGCGGCGAGCGAACGGGGAGGAGCCCAGAGCCUGAAUCAGCAUGUGUGUUAGUGGAAGCGUCUGGAAAGGCGCGCGAUACAGGGUGACAGCCCCGUACACAAAAGCGCAUGUGCUGUGAGCUCGAUGAGUAGGGCGGGACACGUGGUAUCCUGUCUGAAUAUGGGGGGACCAUCCUCCAAGGCUAAAUACUCCUGACUGACCGAUAGUGAACCAGUACCGUGAGGGAAAGGCGAAAAGAACCCCGGCGAGGGGAGUGAAAAAGAACCUGAAACCGUGUACGUACAAGCAGUGGGAGCCCCACCACUAAGCCAGUGGUGAACUCCACAUACGCAUCCUUUGCUGAGGAUACGGUUAACGGAGCGAAAGCGACGUUCAACCGCAAAAGAAGCAGAGGGGGCUUAGUGGUGGGGUGACUGCGUACCUUUUGUAUAAUGGGUCAGCGACUUAUAUUCUGUAGCAAGGUUAACCGAAUAGGGGAGCCGGAGGGAAACCGAGUCUUAAUUGGGCGUUAAGUUGCAGGGUAUAGACCCGAAACCCGGUGAUCUAGCCAUGGGCAGGUUGAAGGUUGGGUAACACUAACUGGAGGACCGAACCGACUAAUGUUGAAAAAUUAGCGGAUGACCUGUGGCUGGGGGUGAAAGGCCAAUCAAACCGGGAGAUAGCUGGUUCUCCCCGAAAGCUAUUUAGGUAGCGCCUCGUGAAUUCAUCUCCGGGGGUAGAGCACUGUUUCGGCUAGGGGGCCAUCCCGGCUUACCAACCCGAUGCAAACUGCGAAUACCGGAGAAUGUUAUCACGGGAGACACACGGCGGGUGCUAACGUCCGUCGUGAAGAGGGAAACAACCCAGACCGCCAGCUAAGGUCCCAAAGUCAUGGUUAAGUGGGAAACGAUGUGGGAAGGCCCAGACAGCCAGGAUGUUGGCUUAGAAGCAGCCAUCAUUUAAAGAAAGCGUAAUAGCUCACUGGUCGAGUCGGCCUGCGCGGAAGAUGUAACGGGGCUAAACCAU